rnacentral:rRNA from 1 species
CCUACGGGUGGCUGCAGUGGGGGAUAUUGCACAAUGGGGGAAACCCUGAUGCAGCGACGCCGCGUGAGGGAAGAAGGAUUUCGGAAUGUAAAGCUCUAUCAGCAGGGAAGAAAAUGACAGUACCUGACCAAUAAGCCCCGGCUAACUACGUGCCAGCAGCCGCGGUAAUACGUAGGGGGCAAGCGUUAUCCGGAUUUACUGGGUGUAAAGGGAGCGUAGACGGGGACGUAAGUCUGGAGUGAAAGCCCGUGGCCCAACCCCGGGACUGCUUUUGAAACUGUGUAACUGGAGUGCAGGAGGGGCAGGUGGAAUUCCUGGUGUAGCGGUGAAAUGCGUAGAUAUCAGGAGGAACACCGGCGGCGAAGGCGGCCUGCUGGACUGAAACUGACGUUGAGGCUCGAAAGCGUGGGGAGCAAACAGGAUUAGAUACCCGUGUAGUC